GACGAACGCUGGCGGCGUGCCUAACACAUGCAAGUCGAACGGAAAGGCACUGCUAUUGUGGUGUGACCGAGUGGCGAACGGGGGAGGAACACGUAAGUAACCUGCCCUUGACUUUGGGGUAACUUCAGGAAACGGGGGCUACUACCGGAUAGGAUACCAUGCAGCAUGGAAGGCGGGGGAACUUUGCGGCGGGUGGGGAUGGACUCGCGGAUUAUCAGUUAGUUGGUGGGGGAGGCGCUUACCAAGCCAUUGCCGGGUAGCCGGCCUGAGAGGGUGACCGGGCACAUUGGGACUGCGGUACGGCCCAGACUCCAACUGGAGGCAGUAGUGGGAAAUAUUGCCCAGUGAGCCGAAGCCUGAUACAACGACGCCGCGUGCGGGAAGCCGGCCUUUGGGGUAUAAACCGCUUUCGCCUGUGACGAAGCGUGACUGACGGUAACGAAUAAAUAAGCACCGGCUAACUACGUG
rnacentral:rRNA from 1 species